GACAAUCAUAAUACAGAGGCAUAAGGGCUAUCCAAAUAGGGUCACAGGUUACGCUAUGAAUACAGGUAUCACAUCAGAAAAUUACCGUACUUAAAAUCUCAGCAAAGAGAUCACACCCUCACACAAUUAAUGUUAUCAACAUCCAUCCAGUCUCUCAAGCUCACCCUCUUCAACAAUCUUUGCUUUACUGAGUUCCGGGUGGACUAUUUAAAUAUCAUACAAAUUGAUUCUGACAUCACAAUCACUGCCUGCUUCCUAAAACUUGCCCUCCACCGUCUAUUAUAAAUGCUUUCCAAUCAGUGCUCCCAUUCUUCAUUCUAUUCACCACUUAGUUACUAGAAUGUUUUUCUCAACUAUGAAUCUGACUUCACUCCCUUUCUUGAAAACCUCCUGUAGUUCCUGUUGUGUACGGGAUAAAGGUCAGACAACUUAGUAUAGCCCAGCUCAGUCCAGCUAGCAAAGCAAAUACUAGCUUUAUUCCCUGCAAGCAACGUAAGACAAAGACAACCACACUAAACUCAGUAUUAGCAGACCACCAUCCUCCCUGAGGCCUCCACUGCUUUGCACACACUCUUCUCUUUCUCAGAAGGUCCUUUCCCCUCCUCCUGUUGGUGCAGCCAAUUCUUUCUCUUCCUUCUAAUGCACCAUCUUCUGUGUAGUCUUCUUUGACACUAGGUAGGGUUACAUCUUUGCUCUGUGUUUCUAUAACACUCUUCAUAUGCCAUGGAACUGCAUUCAUUAUAUUGGUAUAAUUUUAUUUGUCUUUUUUCUUCCUAGACUGUGAGCCCCUGGAGUUCAGGGACCAUUUCUUAAUCAUAUUCCAGAACCUAUCACAAUGAAUGACACGAAGAAUAUAUUUGAUAAAAAUCUGAUGAAUGAACCACUCUAAAAUGCAACUCUAAUAAAGAAAAUUACUGCCUAUUCAGUUGGAACUGUACCAUGUUACAAACGUAAAAUUAUGUAUAGUCUGAUAAAGAAAUACUAUAAUAGCCUUGGAAACAGCUCACAUACAAUUUUUUUUAUAAAUGGAUUCAUUACCAUAUAACUGGACCAGCUUACUGAAGAGUAGCCCUACAGCAGUCACUUCGCAGUUUGCAAUUCAUUUGAGGUUCAAAGCUAGCUCAAGGGAAAACAACGUUAGUAUUAACAAACUUAUUUUUAAGCUUAAGGUCAGAAUUUAAGGGAAAAUAAAUAAAUAUAGUAUGUUCUAAGAAUCCAAAGGAAUUUUUAAAAAUUGCCCCCUGCAGCUGUAAUUUCUGCAUGGAUGAGAAAACCUUAAUUGCUUGCUGGCUUCCAAGAAAGCCAUUAACCUGCAUUUAAAAAUUCAGCUUUCAUCAAGAACAACCUCACAUAUCCAGCUCUCAUGGAAAAAGGAAUAGAAGCCUCUGACCUAGUUUUCAAUUAUUACCAAACUACUGAUAAUUGAUCUCCUGGUCUCCAGGUUUGUUUGUUUUACUAAAAUAAAUUCCCUCUGGAGCUGCAGGUGCUUACCAUGGGGCUGCGCAGGUGGAAAGCAGCCCAGUCUUACUAUGAGGAUGUCCGUUUGCCAUCUGGGAACAAGGAGGAAGAAGCAGAGACCUGGGCAAGACCUCAGAGAAUAAAUUAUCUCAAUGGCUACUUACAUGGUCCAGCAUAGCAGAAAAAAAAGCCACACUGAGCAAGCAGUGGUCCUUUCCAUGCUACACAAGCAAGAAAUGCCUAUAAAGACAGACUUGAGUGCAGUCUAAAGAAUCUUUUGCUUUGCCUUAACACUCUACUUCUGGAUAUCCUUGCUCAAAAAGAAGUCUACUCAAGAGCAACCUUCUUCAUGCUGAAGUCUUCAGUUCACAGAAUGACUGACUUAUUUUCAAAAGAGGAAGGCUGUAUUGCAUAUUGUAACUCUCUCCAAAUCUAUACUUAUGAGCUAAUUCUUCAAAAGGUAAGAUCAAUUACCACACAGAAGGAGAAGCCAUCCAUUUUCUUGAAGCUGUCAAAAUUUGAGCUGUCUCCCAUAGGAUUUCCACUGACAGUUAAUGAAAAAAAUCAGUAUCUGUCAAUUUUGGAAGAAAUUUAAAAGUGGUAAGAUAUUCUUAUAAAUCGAUGUUAAAA
rnacentral:lncRNA from 1 species